UAUGGAAGCUGCAGAACCAGCCAUGCAGGCAAAUGAGAAAAAAAAAUCUUUUGUCUGUAGAAAGCAACAAUCUUACAUAAACAUGGAAAUCUUCCUCUGACUUAGGACAGCUGGCUAAGUUUGAUUGUUCCCCUCCAUGCAAC